rnacentral:lncRNA from 1 species
GAUUCUAAGAGUCCAUACAAAUUGUGAGAAUCAUACUCGGUGAUAUUACCAUAAUGUAAAGAUGUUGCCGGAACAGUUUUCUCGUUAAUUGGUCGUUGAACGCCAGAACUGUUAAUUUUGUAAGGAGGGUUGUCAAGAUUAGAAUGUGGUGUGUUCGGUGAAGUUAUGAAAUUAGAUAACUCAUUCAUGUCAAGCCAAAGACCAUCAAAAGCGAGAACGUCCUUAAAUAAUUUGAUUUCUUCAGCCCAAAAUUGUUGACUAUGAGGGUUAAGAAAAUCAGGAUAGUAAACUUGUCCAGGCCAAACUUCACCUUGAUAGUUGACUCCAUUUCUCUUUAUAUAUACAUCAGCUUGCAAACCUCUAACAUAGGUUGCAUAUGUAGUAUUUAUACUGAUACCUGUGUACAAAAUUUGUCUCAAAUCAAUGAAAUAUCACAUAUGCAUAGAUAUUUGAAACGUUAAGAGGAGAACAGCGUUAUCAAUGAUGUAUUACGGAAAAUAGCAGAAGGCCAAAAAUCCCUUAUGUGAAAUAGAAGAUAGUGUUAGAGGCAAAUAGCCGGAUUAGGAUUGCACUAAUAGUAAAACUAGGAUAGUGUUGCGGAAUCAUCAAAAUCCGCUAUGUUGUAGCUCUGCUACUACUUCUAUUUGACAGCAAUUGAGUAUAGUAUGUUUAGUUUGGAAGAUAAUUUAUGGUGUUAGAAUUAGGUACCUGGAUCCAAGAUAAGCACAUACUUCUGACCAUUUUUGUGAAGGGUAUCAACAAAAUUUAUCAUCUUGUCUUGCGGAAAAUUAACAGGAUCUAGUGUGAAAUCUUUAUAUGCAUCCAUGUAAUCAAUAUCUGUCCACAUAACUUCAAGGGGUAUGCCAGCUUUUGCAUAGUUGGUUACCACACCUUCGACAUCACUUACAUUCUUGUAGCCAUAUCGACAUUGAUGAAAACCUUCACAAAGAGUUUACAAUAUUUGUGGAUUACCAUUGGAAUUUGAUAUAAUGAAUCAGAUGAAUACAAUAGAAAGACAACUGCAAUAGACUGGUGUUAGAUUUGAAUGCCUGGACUAAAGUAUAGAAAUUUCAUAAAGUACAAUUCAAUGACUAUAGACCUUUAUAUGGUUUAAUUUUUUUGUAUCAUCUAUGCAUAGGCCAUUCAGUAGAACCAUGUUAUUGUCAUAUAUAAAUACUAGAAGAAAAAAAAUUCAGUAGACCACCUUGAUAGAAGGUCGACUGUUGGACCGAAACCUGAAAAUUUGUUCAAAACACCAAUGACAUCUGACGGGACUCAUCAUCCCCACGACUGAGUGGGUGACCUUAUCGGUGUCACUUUGACAGAAAUAUAAGUUGAGUUUUGAGCCACACAUAUCUAUUUUAUCUUGUUUGUUCCAAAUUGACACCAAUAAGGUCACCAUCUCAGAUGUUACAAUAAGGAGGAAUAUGAAAUUCUACUCCCGAGAACCAAUAUCAGUCAUUGUUGAAGUUUCAAACGAUUUUCAAGUACCGAUCCACGGUUGACCGCCUAUUAAAAUUGUACACCUUAUAACUUGCUAUAAACACUUGAGUUUCAACAAGUAAAACACAACUCAAACUACAAUGAUAAAAAGGAAUGAAAAAUUCAACAAUCCGUGCUGGACUUACCAAAAGACCAAUAAGGCAUAGGAGCAGGCCUACCAAUGAACUGAGUAUACUGAUCCAAAACCAAUUCAGGAGAUGAACCAGAAAAAAAAUACAAAUCAAAAACACCACCAAUCACCUUAUAAGUAAGACGAUCACCGCUAUAAACAACAUCCAUUCCAUUACUAUUAAGAAGUAAAACACCAUGUGUAGUCCCACUUUUCACUCUUCCAUCAGAUGAACCCUUUCUCACAUCCAAAUAAAAUGGAUGAGAGCCAUAAAGAUUCACAUCAACAUUAGAACUACCAAUAUCUUCAUUCCAAAGAGUGAAAGUUUGGUUUGGUUUCAACUUGAAAGAACUCUUUGUAUGCUCUCCAAAACCAUACAGAGAAGCUCUUUUUGAAGGCAGAGAGGUAGAAAUCUGCAAGUACUGUUCUUUGAAGACUAGAAAUGUUUCAGGGUUUAAAGGGUCUUCUGGUAAAGUGUUAAAGAGUAUAUCUUUGUUGGAUUUACGCGUGAUAGUGAAACCAAAUGGAGUUGUGUUGUGGAGUGUGAAGAUAAGAUCUGAGUUUGGAUGUGUAAUUAUGUAUUUUGAGUUUUGCGAAUUUUGUUGACGAAAAUGAUGAGAUAGAGAUGAAGAUGAUGAGUCUCUUGGAAUCAAUUCUUCUGGAACUUCCCAUCUUUGAUUAUUUGAAUCAGUGAUUCUUACUCUUAAUUUAUCCUUGGCCUCAAAACUGCAAUUCAGAGUUGAAAAUUUAGUCUUAUUUUGAACCAAAAAAAGUUUAAUAAUUUACUCAUAAAUAGAAACAUGGAUAUAAUCAUAUGAUUAUAUAUGUUUGAUUGCUUUUGAAACAAAAAAACAAUCUAGUAAAAUAAAAAGGACAACAAAAAAACAAUAAACUAUGAUUGGUUAUUGGUUAGUUAGUUAGUUAGUUACCUGGCACUGAGGUUGAGAAGUGGAAUGUCGGGUCCGAAAACCGAGGAGGAUUUGAUGAGUUUAAGGUUAGCAGACAAAGAUUUUCCUGUUGGAUCACUUUUUACACUUAUGAUUGUGUAGCCAUAACCAACUUGUGUUUCUUUUGAUGGUGAAUCUGCAACAGUUUGGGAUAAGAUGACAAAAACAUUGAAACAGAAAGCUAGUAGUGGUAGUAGAAUGUUGCUGGUUUUAGUUCUUGGACUUGUAACCAUUUUGUUUGUGUUGAUGUGUUUAUUGUCUGUGGGAGACAAUUGAAAAUAAUCAUCAAUUUAUGUUUUGUAUACAAGAUUGGUUGAUCUAGGAGAAAACAAUGAAUGAUGGAGACAAGCCAUGUUGACUUAAAAGAUAAGAUGACAUUGUUACUAACAUUUUCCACUAAGAAGUAACAAUAGUUUUUUUUUUCUUCUUUUUUUAUUGCAAAUGUUACUAAAUUCUCCUUUGUGAGAAGAUUUUUAACUGUAGUAUUUUAACCCUACUUGAAAGGAGGUGACCUUAACUCUUUGUACUAACAAUUUUUUUGAGAGGACCACCACUUGAAAGGAUAUGAUCCAUCUUUAAACUAACCCUACUUGAAAGGAGGUGACCUUAACUCUUUCUACUAACAAUAGUUAAUAUGAUGGCGACUAUGUAAAUUGACUACUAGACAAAGAUGGGCAAUCACCAUUUUUCUUGUUCUUUUUGUUAUUAAAAAACAUAAUUAAUGAUAGCAGAUUUUUAUAUUAUAAAUUUCUAUUAAUAUGAUCGCAAAGGUUGAUCGAACUGAAAAAACCACUAGUCCAGCUCAAUGAUGGAGAGUGUUACCUGCAAACACUUGGCGCUCACAUCGCCAAGAGAAACCAUUGAGUAGUGUGUGUGUGUGUUCUCCUCGUGUGUCCCUCUCAUGUCAACGUGGCUCAUUCUUUGUUUCCUCCUACAUGAACUAACCUCUAUAAAUUUGUAGUUAUAGUCAUAGUUUUAAGAACCGGCCGGUUCAACCGUGAACCAUACCCAUUACCGGUUUGAGCCAGCUAUUGGAUCGGCCAUGUUAUUGACUCGGCUGCCACGUCAUAAACAAAGCUUAUAGCAUAAAAAAUUACAUACAAUACAAGUGUUUAUAUGUAAGCUAUUUCUAUAGGUUUAUGAGGCGUUAGCUCGAUGAUAAUAAUCUGACCUGCAAUUGCAAGAGACGGAGUUCAAAUUCAUGAGACAAUUGUAAAAUGGACAUUAACGCCACCAUAAUUUUAAUAAUAUUUCUCCUUCCCCAUUUUUUUUUAAAAUUGUUCCUUUUAAUAAACAACUAUUUCGAUAGCGAAAUAUAAAAUGAGGUCUGACUGUUUUCACAAGAUUAGCAUAGAGAGCUUGUGCAAAUAAUCCAAAAACAAUUUAUGAAUAUGUCAUAAACUGUUUUCAUAAGCUCUCGUAAACAAUCUCAAAUGUUUGUCGCGCAAUAAGCUCAAAUGGGACAAUUCAACCAGAUGUUGAUGAAUGUAUGGAAAAGGAAAGAAACACUUGAGAUAAUAUAAAUCAACUAAAUCUUGAGAUAAUAUAUAGAUUUGAUAGACAAAUAUAACUAUACUAGAUGAUACUUAUUUCUGAUCCCUUGUAGCAACCUUAACUAAGGUAAAACAAGGGACUCUUCAAAGAAGUAAAACUACUAAGAAAACACAUAUUAUUUUUGGAAAUUGCAUUCUCAAAUUUCCUUCUACCUUAUUUUAGUCUUCAGUUCAAACUGCUCUCCAAUAAGCUGUUUCAAAUUUGAAACUUCCACAGUAACAAACUUAGAAGACCUAUCAAAUUUUGUGAUCAAAACUCUUUUCCUCGUUGAAUUCAUUCCACUCACAACAUUUAACUCACUCUCAGCCAAAUCAUUUCCAUUUAACCUACCAUAAUUAGGUAUCCCCAAGAAUGUAACCUUUUCUAUGGUCCAUUUUUGGUCCAAAGCAAAUUUUCCAUUAGUAACAUUAGAAGUAACAGAAACACUGUCAUUAUUAUACAGUGCACCAUAAAAUCUCACAAGUGUCCAUUGAUCUUUCUCUCCUUCUAGAUCAAGAGCCUCACCAUCAUCCAAAUAAACUUGUCCAUAACUAUUUCCAUUUCCACUAAAAACAACCAAUAGUUCGAAUGCGGUGUUUCGAGCUGCUUUCGUUGUCAUUGCUUCACCUUGUAAGGCCAAAAUGUUACCUUCACCAACAUGCACAUUUAUGUGAUCAGAUGGUGCAUCAAGUGUGACAUAUUUGCCUGAUUCUGCACUCACUGAAUUUGAAGGAUUAAAGAGAUCAAACCAAUUUCCUUUAGGAAAGUAUGCAUCAACAGUAACUGCACCAGAUUGUAGCACAGGUGAGACUAGAACACCAUUGCCUAAUAGAAACUGCGAGUUUAUUUCGUAUGUUGUGAUAUCCUCGGGGAAUGAAAAGAAAAGUGGCCGCGCAAUUGGUGUCCCUUUUGUGUUUGAUUCGUACAUUAGUGUGUAGAAAUAUGGAAGAAGGCGGUAACGAAGGGCGAGCACUUUUCGAGCUGAUGCUGCAACUGAAUCCCAAAGGUAAAGCUCUUGCCUGAUGGAACUUUUAUCUGAAUGAUCUCUUGCAAAGGGGUAGAAGGCCCCUAACUACAUUCAAGAAAAUAAAAAAGUAUUAGAUAUGCAUGCAAUGAUGGAAAUAUUUUCCAUCAGGGUUUUAAAAACUUAGGUACUGUUCUAUAGAAACUGUUCCUACUGUUCUCAACUUACAGAUAGUGUAACUGUCACCAACAAUUUUGAAUGGAUGUGAAAAACUGUCCUUUUUGUUAGAAAAAGUAAGAGUACAGCACACAUUGAAUCUAAGUUUAGUCCUUUAAAGAAAGGCCUACCGCGCGAUGUGGAAAGUGACAUUAAGAUUUUUUAUGUUUAUACGACUGCAAUUGCGGCUUUAUCACCACGAUUCUCUGAAAUAUAAGAAUCGCAGCGUGUCUGCAAUUUAAAACCUUUCUUUACCUGUAGCCAAAAAUCACAGCUCUAUCCAUGUGUAACUUUUAUAAAUUUAGUCUAGUGAAAAAGUUGUGGAUGCUAUCCGAUUUUGAGGAUCAAUGUUUGUUACCUGAAUCCAGCGCCGACAAAGUUCUUCAGUAGUGUCUGCUGAGAAGCCGCAUAUAUCCGCUCCAACCAUAGGAACUCCAAAGAUUCCAAAGUUUAAUAUUGAUGGGAUUGAGUAUGCUAAAUCAUUCCAUGUAGCAGCAUUAUCUCCUGUCCAAUGAGCUGUAUACUUGCCAGAGCUAACAAAAGUUGAUCUACUCAAAAUGAAUGGUCUUUUACUAGUUAUUUCCACUAAGGCCCUGUUGGUUGUUUUGGAUUCUAAGAGACCAUACAAAUUGUGAGAAUCAUACUCAGUGAUAUUACCAUAAUGUAAAGAAGUUGCUGGCACCGUUUUAUUGUUGAUUGGUCGUUGAACGCCAGUACUGUUAAUUUUGUAAGGAGGGCUGUCAAGAUUAGAAUGAGGAGUGUCAUUCGAAGUUAUGAAAUUUGAUAACUCAUUCAUGUCAAGCCAAAUACCAUCAAAAGGGAGAAGUUCCCUAAAUAAUUUGAUUUCUUCACCCCAAAAUUCUUGGCUAUGAGGGUUAAGAAAAUCAGGAUAGUAAACUGGUCCUGGCCAAACUUCACCUAGAUAAUUGACUCCAUUUCUCUUUAGAUAGACAUCAGCUUGUAAGCCUCUAACAUAGGUUGCAUAUGUGUUAUUUACACUGAUACCUGUGUACAAAAAAGCAAUGACAUGUGCAUAUAUAUAUAUAUUUUUUUGAAUGGCAAAUAUAUAAUAUAGAAAAAGAACACACUGUACAAGAUACACCAACAGGACCAUCAAAAGAUGGUCCAAAGAGACCCCAGAAAACCCCCGACACAAAUGGAGAGCCGGGAAGAGAUCCGAAUGGAAGCACCAAAUAAACACCAAAAGCAAACAAAAAGAAAACUACACCAAAUAAAAGGAAAACAGAACAAAACACCACUGAAACCAACACCAGGCAGGUCAGGAAAGGAGGGCAAAGAAACACUGCGAAAGCUGGCCAGAAGGGGAGGAGGCAGGGAACCCCCACCCAACCCCCCACGCGAGCCAAGGCACACCACUCCCAGAACACCCUACCGAUGCCAGCACAGGAACCAUAAGAGUAAGACAUUGUUGUCGAUAGCGGAUUAUGGAAAAUAGAGGAACACCAAAAUUCCACUAUGUGAAAUAGGGGAUAGUGUUGCUGGAAAAUAGUGAAAGUCGCAUAGGGUUGAAAUAAGUCAAUUUUUUAUGAAAAAGGGCAAGCUGCAUACAGAUAAGAAAAAGAAUGGAGGCAAAGCAUAUCUUCUACACUGGAAGGUUUAAUUAUUACUGUUAAUAUAAGAGUAAUGCUCACCUAAUCUUCGGUUUUCUAUAGUAAAAGUAGGCCAUGUUUGGCCCAUAUGCAGAUUCUUCGGUUUUGUUUCUAAAAAAGACCCUAAAAUUCUCUUUUUCCAUUAUUACUGCUACAUCAGCUAGCAAAAACUGGAAUAGCGGGGCGGCUAUUGCGCUAAUAGUGUUGUGGUUUCCAUAGAGGAAUCACCAAAAUCCACUAUGUUACAGAGCUGCUAUUGCGGCGGCUAUUUGAUGACGCUGGAGCAGAAUAUGUUUAGUUUAGAAUUUGGUACCUGGAUCCAAGAUAAGCACAUAUUUCUGACCAUUUUUGUGAAGAGUAUCAACAAAAUUUCUCAUCUUAUCUUUCGGAAAAUUAACAGGAUCUAGAGUGAAAUCUUUAUAUGCAUCCAUGUAAUCAAUAUCUGUCCACAUAACUUCGAGGGGUAUACCAGCUUUUGCAUAGUUGGUUACUACACCCUGAACAUCAUUUACAUUCUUGUAUCCCCAUCGACAUUGAUGAAAACCUUCACAAAGAGUUAACAAUGAUGUGGAUUAGCAUAGCAAAUUGAUAUAAUUAAUCACCGUGAAUAUAAUACAAUAGAAAGACAAUUGCAAUAAACUGGUGUUAGAUUUUAAUGCCUGGAGCCCUGAACUAAUGCAUAGAAAUUUCAUAAAGUACAAUUCAAUGACUAUAGACCUUUAUAUGGUUUAAUUUUUUAUCAUCUAUGUCUAGGCCAUUCCUAACUUAAUAGGGGCUUGUCCUCCACACUUUAGUUUUCAACACCUAUAAACACAUUCUUUCAAGUUUCAUAGCAUUGGCUUUAUAUUUUGUAACUGUGGUUUGCAACAACGGUUACGGCCACAACGUAAGGGAUUCUAAAACUUCUACAACUGCAAUUCAAAAUACUAGAAGAAAAAAAAUUCAGUAGAACACCUUGAUAGAAGGUCGACUCUAGACCAGAACCUGAAAAUUUAUUCAAAACACCAAUGACAUUUGACAGGACUCAUCAUCCCCACGACUGAGUGGUUGACCUUAUCGGUGUUAGUUAGACAGAAAUACGAGUUGAGUUUUGAGCCACACAUAUCAAUUAUAUCUUGUUUGUUCCAAAUUGUAACCAAUCAGGUCACUAUCUCAGACGUUACAACAAGGAGGAAUAUGAAAUUCUACUCCCGAAAACCAAUAUCAGUCAUUGCUGAAGUUUCAAACGAUUUUUGAGUACUGAUCCACGAGUCGUGGAUCAGUACUUGAAAUUGUACACGACUGACCACGACUGGCCGCCUAUUAAAAUUGUACACCUUAUAACUUGCUAUAAACACUUGAGUAGUUGAGUUUCAACAAGUAAAACAACUAGAACUACAAGGACAAAAAGGAUUGAAAAAUUCAACAAUCCAUGCUGGACUUACCAAAAGACCAAUAAGGCAUAGGAGCAGGCCUACCAAUGAACUGAGUAUACUGAUCCAAAACCAAUUCAGGAGAUGAACCAGCAAAAAAAUACAAAUCAAAAACACCACCAAUCACCUUAUAAGUAAGACGAUCACCGCUAUAAACAACAUCCAUUCCAUUACUAUUAAGAAGUAAAACNUGUGGGAGACAAUUGAAAAUAAUCAUCAAUUUAUGUUUUGUAUACAAGAUUGGUUGAUCUAGGAGAAAACAAUGAAUGAUGGAGACAAGCCAUGUUGACUUAAAAGAUAAGAUGACAUUGUUACUAACAUUUUCCACUAAGAAGUAACAAUAGUUUUUUUUUUCUUCUUUUUUUAUUGCAAAUGUUACUAAAUUCUCCUUUGUGAGAAGAUUUUUAACUGUAGUAUUUUAACCCUACUUGAAAGGAGGUGACCUUAACUCUUUGUACUAACAAUUUUUUUGAGAGGACCACCACUUGAAAGGAUAUGAUCCAUCUUUAAACUAACCCUACUUGAAAGGAGGUGACCUUAACUCUUUCUACUAACAAUAGUUAAUAUGAUGGCGACUAUGUAAAUUGACUACUAGACAAAGAUGGGCAAUCACCAUUUUUCUUGUUCUUUUUGUUAUUAAAAAACAUAAUUAAUGAUAGCAGAUUUUUAUAUUAUAAAUUUCUAUUAAUAUGAUCGCAAAGGUUGAUCGAACUGAAAAAACCACUAGUCCAGCUCAAUGAUGGAGAGUGUUACCUGCAAACACUUGGCGCUCACAUCGCCAAGAGAAACCAUUGAGUAGUGUGUGUGUGUGUUCUCCUCGUGUGUCCCUCUCAUGUCAACGUGGCUCAUUCUUUGUUUCCUCCUACAUGAACUAACCUCUAUAAAUUUGUAGUUAUAGUCAUAGUUUUAAGAACCGGCCGGUUCAACCGUGAACCAUACCCAUUACCGGUUUGAGCCAGCUAUUGGAUCGGCCAUGUUAUUGACUCGGCUGCCACGUCAUAAACAAAGCUUAUAGCAUAAAAAAUUACAUACAAUACAAGUGUUUAUAUGUAAGCUAUUUCUAUAGGUUUAUGAGGCGUUAGCUCGAUGAUAAUAAUCUGACCUGCAAUUGCAAGAGACGGAGUUCAAAUUCAUGAGACAAUUGUAAAAUGGACAUUAACGCCACCAUAAUUUUAAUAAUAUUUCUCCUUCCCCAUUUUUUUUUAAAAUUGUUCCUUUUAAUAAACAACUAUUUCGAUAGCGAAAUAUAAAAUGAGGUCUGACUGUUUUCACAAGAUUAGCAUAGAGAGCUUGUGCAAAUAAUCCAAAAACAAUUUAUGAAUAUGUCAUAAACUGUUUUCAUAAGCUCUCGUAAACAAUCUCAAAUGUUUGUCGCGCAAUAAGCUCAAAUGGGACAAUUCAACCAGAUGUUGAUGAAUGUAUGGAAAAGGAAAGAAACACUUGAGAUAAUAUAAAUCAACUAAAUCUUGAGAUAAUAUAUAGAUUUGAUAGACAAAUAUAACUAUACUAGAUGAUACUUAUUUCUGAUCCCUUGUAGCAACCUUAACUAAGGUAAAACAAGGGACUCUUCAAAGAAGUAAAACUACUAAGAAAACACAUAUUAUUUUUGGAAAUUGCAUUCUCAAAUUUCCUUCUACCUUAUUUUAGUCUUCAGUUCAAACUGCUCUCCAAUAAGCUGUUUCAAAUUUGAAACUUCCACAGUAACAAACUUAGAAGACCUAUCAAAUUUUGUGAUCAAAACUCUUUUCCUCGUUGAAUUCAUUCCACUCACAACAUUUAACUCACUCUCAGCCAAAUCAUUUCCAUUUAACCUACCAUAAUUAGGUAUCCCCAAGAAUGUAACCUUUUCUAUGGUCCAUUUUUGGUCCAAAGCAAAUUUUCCAUUAGUAACAUUAGAAGUAACAGAAACACUGUCAUUAUUAUACAGUGCACCAUAAAAUCUCACAAGUGUCCAUUGAUCUUUCUCUCCUUCUAGAUCAAGAGCCUCACCAUCAUCCAAAUAAACUUGUCCAUAACUAUUUCCAUUUCCACUAAAAACAACCAAUAGUUCGAAUGCGGUGUUUCGAGCUGCUUUCGUUGUCAUUGCUUCACCUUGUAAGGCCAAAAUGUUACCUUCACCAACAUGCACAUUUAUGUGAUCAGAUGGUGCAUCAAGUGUGACAUAUUUGCCUGAUUCUGCACUCACUGAAUUUGAAGGAUUAAAGAGAUCAAACCAAUUUCCUUUAGGAAAGUAUGCAUCAACAGUAACUGCACCAGAUUGUAGCACAGGUGAGACUAGAACACCAUUGCCUAAUAGAAACUGCGAGUUUAUUUCGUAUGUUGUGAUAUCCUCGGGGAAUGAAAAGAAAAGUGGCCGCGCAAUUGGUGUCCCUUUUGUGUUUGAUUCGUACAUUAGUGUGUAGAAAUAUGGAAGAAGGCGGUAACGAAGGGCGAGCACUUUUCGAGCUGAUGCUGCAACUGAAUCCCAAAGGUAAAGCUCUUGCCUGAUGGAACUUUUAUCUGAAUGAUCUCUUGCAAAGGGGUAGAAGGCCCCUAACUACAUUCAAGAAAAUAAAAAAGUAUUAGAUAUGCAUGCAAUGAUGGAAAUAUUUUCCAUCAGGGUUUUAAAAACUUAGGUACUGUUCUAUAGAAACUGUUCCUACUGUUCUCAACUUACAGAUAGUGUAACUGUCACCAACAAUUUUGAAUGGAUGUGAAAAACUGUCCUUUUUGUUAGAAAAAGUAAGAGUACAGCACACAUUGAAUCUAAGUUUAGUCCUUUAAAGAAAGGCCUACCGCGCGAUGUGGAAAGUGACAUUAAGAUUUUUUAUGUUUAUACGACUGCAAUUGCGGCUUUAUCACCACGAUUCUCUGAAAUAUAAGAAUCGCAGCGUGUCUGCAAUUUAAAACCUUUCUUUACCUGUAGCCAAAAAUCACAGCUCUAUCCAUGUGUAACUUUUAUAAAUUUAGUCUAGUGAAAAAGUUGUGGAUGCUAUCCGAUUUUGAGGAUCAAUGUUUGUUACCUGAAUCCAGCGCCGACAAAGUUCUUCAGUAGUGUCUGCUGAGAAGCCGCAUAUAUCCGCUCCAACCAUAGGAACUCCAAAGAUUCCAAAGUUUAAUAUUGAUGGGAUUGAGUAUGCUAAAUCAUUCCAUGUAGCAGCAUUAUCUCCUGUCCAAUGAGCUGUAUACUUGCCAGAGCUAACAAAAGUUGAUCUACUCAAAAUGAAUGGUCUUUUACUAGUUAUUUCCACUAAGGCCCUGUUGGUUGUUUUGGAUUCUAAGAGACCAUACAAAUUGUGAGAAUCAUACUCAGUGAUAUUACCAUAAUGUAAAGAAGUUGCUGGCACCGUUUUAUUGUUGAUUGGUCGUUGAACGCCAGUACUGUUAAUUUUGUAAGGAGGGCUGUCAAGAUUAGAAUGAGGAGUGUCAUUCGAAGUUAUGAAAUUUGAUAACUCAUUCAUGUCAAGCCAAAUACCAUCAAAAGGGAGAAGUUCCCUAAAUAAUUUGAUUUCUUCACCCCAAAAUUCUUGGCUAUGAGGGUUAAGAAAAUCAGGAUAGUAAACUGGUCCUGGCCAAACUUCACCUAGAUAAUUGACUCCAUUUCUCUUUAGAUAGACAUCAGCUUGUAAGCCUCUAACAUAGGUUGCAUAUGUGUUAUUUACACUGAUACCUGUGUACAAAAAAGCAAUGACAUGUGCAUAUAUAUAUAUAUUUUUUUGAAUGGCAAAUAUAUAAUAUAGAAAAAGAACACACUGUACAAGAUACACCAACAGGACCAUCAAAAGAUGGUCCAAAGAGACCCCAGAAAACCCCCGACACAAAUGGAGAGCCGGGAAGAGAUCCGAAUGGAAGCACCAAAUAAACACCAAAAGCAAACAAAAAGAAAACUACACCAAAUAAAAGGAAAACAGAACAAAACACCACUGAAACCAACACCAGGCAGGUCAGGAAAGGAGGGCAAAGAAACACUGCGAAAGCUGGCCAGAAGGGGAGGAGGCAGGGAACCCCCACCCAACCCCCCACGCGAGCCAAGGCACACCACUCCCAGAACACCCUACCGAUGCCAGCACAGGAACCAUAAGAGUAAGACAUUGUUGUCGAUAGCGGAUUAUGGAAAAUAGAGGAACACCAAAAUUCCACUAUGUGAAAUAGGGGAUAGUGUUGCUGGAAAAUAGUGAAAGUCGCAUAGGGUUGAAAUAAGUCAAUUUUUUAUGAAAAAGGGCAAGCUGCAUACAGAUAAGAAAAAGAAUGGAGGCAAAGCAUAUCUUCUACACUGGAAG